rnacentral:rRNA from 1 species
CCCCUAGAUGUUCUGGGCCGCACGCGCGCUACACUGAACAGUUCAACAAGUCUUAACCUUGGCCGAUAGGUCUGGGUAAUCUUUGAACGCUGUUCGUGAUUGGGAUAGACCUUUGCAAUUAUGGGUCUUCAACGAGGAAUUCCUAGUAAACGCAAGUCAUCAGCUUGCAUUGAUUACGUCCCUGCCCUUUGUACACACCGCCCGUCGCACCUACCGAUUGAAUGGUCCGGUGAAAUCUCCGGACUGGCGUGAGUCGGAGCAAUCUGACAAACACCGGAAAGUUGAUUAAACCUUACCAUUUAGAGGAAGGUGAAGUCGUAACA